rnacentral:rRNA from 1 species
ACACAUGCAAGUCGAGCGAUGAAAUUUUGACAGAUCCCUUCGGGGAGAAGAUAAAAUGGAUUAGCGGCGGACGGGUGAGUAACACGUGAGUAACCUGCCUUAGACAUUGGGAUAGCCUCGGGAAACCGGGAUUAAUACCGAAUAAAAUCACAGAUACACAUGUAUCCAUGAUCAAAACUCCGGUGGUCUAAGAUGGACUCGCGUCCCAUUAGCUAGUUGGUGAGGUAACGGCCCACCAAGCGACGAUGGGUAGCCGGCCUGAGAGGGUGAACGGCCACAUUGGAACUGAGAAACGGUCCAAACUCCUACGGGAGGCAGCAGUGGGGAAUAUUGCACAAUGGAGGGAACUCUGAUGCAGCGACGCCGCGUGAACGAAGAAGGCUUUCGAGUCGUAAAGUUCUUUUAUAUGGGAAGAUAAUGACGGUACCAUAAGAAAAAGCCCCGGCUAACUACGUGCCAGCAGCCGCGGUAAUACGUAGGGGGCUAGCGUUGUCCGGAAUCACUGGGCGUAAAGGGUUCGCAGGCGGAAAUGCAAGUCAGAUGUAAAAGGCAGUAGCUUAACUACUGUAAGCAUUUGAAACUGCAUAUCUUGAGAAGAGUAGAGGUAAGUGGAAUUUUUAGUGUAGCGGUGAAAUGCGUAGAUAUUAAAAAGAAUACCGGUGGCGAAGGCGACUUACUGGGCUCAUUCUGACGCUGAGGAACGAAAGCGUGGGUAGCAAACAGGAUUAGAUUCCCUGGUAGUCCACGCUGUAAACGAUGAGUGCUAGGUGUCGGCUUAAGUCGGUGCCGCAGUUAACACAAUAAGCACUCCGCCUGGGGAGUACGUGCGCAAGCAUGAAACUCAAAGGAAUUGACGGGGACCCGCACAAGCAGCGGA